CGCGUAGGUGGUGAUUUAAGCAGGAUGUGAAAGGCUACGGCUCAACCGUAGACAUGCACCCUGAACUGGGUCACUUGAGUAUUGGAGAGGCAGGCAGAAUUCCUGGUGUAGCGGUGAAAUGCGUAGAUAUCAGGAGGAAUACCGGAGGCGAAGGCGGCCUGCUGGACAAAUACUGACGCUGAGGCGCGAAGCGUGGGAGCAAACA
rnacentral:rRNA from 1 species